UUACGGUUACAUCACGUUGAAAGACCGGUUCCUGUACGAUUACCAAAGUUAAGCAACGUCGAGCCAGGUCAGUACAUAGAUGGGUGACUGCUUGGGAAUACAAGGUGCUGUAAG